AGCAGCCGCGGUAAUUCCAGCUCCAAUAGCGUAUAUUAAAGUUGUUGCAGUUAAAAAGCUCGUAGUUGAAUUUCGGGAUCAAUAUGUUGGUCGUGCCUUGGUACGUACUGGCAUUAUUGGUUUCUACCCUCUGAAGAACCUCGAUGUCAUUAAUUUGGUGUCUUGGGGAAUCAGGACUGUUACUUUGAAAAAAUUAGAGUGUUUAAAGCAGGCUCGCGCUUGAAUACAUUAGCAUGGAAUAAUGAAAUAGGACGUUUGAUUCUAUUUUGUUGGUUUCUAGGAUCGACGUAAUGAUUAAUAGGGAUAGUUGGGGGCAUUAGUAUUCAAUUGUCAGAGGUGAAAUUCUUGGAUUUAUUGAAGACUAACUACUGCGAAAGCAUUUGCCAAGGAUGUUUUCAUUAAUCAAGAGCGAAAGUUAGGGGAUCGAAGACGAUCAGAUACCGUCGUAGUCUUAACCAUAAACUAUGCCGACUAGGGAUCGGAUGAUGUUAAUUUUUUAAUGACUCAUUCGGCGCCUUAC
rnacentral:misc_RNA from 1 species